UGUGAAACGAUGUAUACCCGCAGAAAGCUUCGGACCCGAUGGUUCCUCUGGAAUUGGAGUGCUGCCAGAGUAACGGCGUUUCAAUAACCAUCUUUUGCCGCGUUACAUUCUAGACUUUCAAAACCGCCUUUCAAUCCUUACCUUUCGAAAUAGACGCGUCCCGUCGCGCACGAGCACGGAGCAUUAAUUAUUAAAUAUUAUUCUCGUUUUACGUGCACGCGAGAGCUCUCAGAUUUUUAUCUCGCAGGUGCUCUUUAAAUUCUUCUCAGUUCUCUCUCUUGGAGAGAGUUUUUCUUGUUUUUCUUAGAAAAGGUACGUCAGAGAUUUCUUUCUUUUUUUUCAGCAAUGCACAAAACGAAUCACAUAAUUUCACUGUAAAGUUUUCAACCAACAAAUUUAUCGUCGGGAACGUAAAGGAUAAGAUGGGAAUUAAAAUUUUCACGAAGGGAGGGAAGGUACGAAUGAAUUCUCUAAAAUGGCAGGUAUGUUAAGCGAUAAAUAUUCGACAUCUAAUAUCUUUGUGGAAACAGCUGCCAUUAGCAAAAUAUGCAGUCGUAUGUCCGCCAUGCCCACAAACGGGCAGUUAUACGUCCGUAUAUUAAUUAAUCGCACUGAAUUACUCAAAAGCGCGGCAGUUCGAGAAUGUGAUGAUGACAAUACACAACGGCGUUCUGCCCGGUCCUCCGAAUGCCGUGCGCGCGCGCGUGUAUUUUCUGCAGCACAAUUAAUAUUUUAAAUUACAUUUUGCGCACCGUGUGCACCGUGCUUGACAAUGGUAUCAUGACAUUUAAACGUUAUUCCUGUGACGUUGCAUUUUCCAUCUAAUUAUAAAUAAAUGCUGCCACAAGCGUGCAAUCCUUAAUUACUGCAUCUGCCCCGUUCCGAAUAAGAGGCGCAGCGUCUGAAUAGAACCGCGCGUUGUAAAAUGCAGAGGACGGAAGAUCUGGGGAAGUCUCCUCUCCGCUUUUUAUCGGAUCUUUCUUUUUUCCUCUCCAGGCACGGCGAAAGAUCGUCGGUCGACAACCACGGCCGUGAACCCAAUUAAUUGAACAUCAUCUUUAGCAUGGCACCUCGCCUCGCUUCUGACUUCAUUCGGGAUUUCCAAUAAUUCUGAUAUCUCGACGGGAAAUCUAAUUAGGCAAUCUGGAUAUUUCUUACGGACAAUUUUAACGUAUACAGUGACAGUGUACCUUUCUGCCCCAUGCGGAUACAAACGGUAUAAAGUUUAAACGGAAAAAAAUCGAUAAAAAACCUGAUUCCGGUGACACGGUUAAAAAUAGAUUUGCGAUUUUGACACAUUUGACAUUCGUAACAAAGGAUCGAUAACAUCGUUAGAUACACCAACAAAGAUGGUAAUGAUAAAAAAUCAUUAUUUACCGCGGAUUUUUUUUCAGUUUUUUUUUGAAAUAUUUUUUAUUUAUUUAUCAAAAUUUAGUGUAUAUAUAAAGAAUGACAACAAAUGAUGAAAAACAGCAGAUUCGAGAAGCUCGAAUGAAUGAAUUUUCGAGAAGCCUUAAAAUUCCUCGACUUGGUUAUAAUCUCAUGUCAAAUUUACAGGCGCAUACAGUUCUGUCUGUUUCUCGCGUGCAUAAAGGUAGACAAACGGUUCUUCACAAAGAGAGAGAAAGAGAGAGAGAAAGAGAGACUGGGAGCACGCGAUGGACAAAAAUAUCUCGGGUAGCGUCCAAAAUAAAACGUGCGCCAGGAGGAGAGAAAGAGAAGGAGAGUGAAGAGAGAAAGAGAGAGAGAGAGAGACUGGGCCAAAGAGACGCGACGCGCCUCCGAACGGUUCCCGGUGCACACGUAUAAUGCGAAAUUUUUAUUGCACCCAGAGUUUCGGCGCCACGAGACGUCGCGUCGCCAGGUCGCCGCGACAAUAAUGUCGCACAUGCAACGGCGCGCGACGAGGAUACGUGCGCUGUUUAUCCCGGUCGACGAUAUCCAACGCUUCAACGGGCGCCGACGACGACUACGACGACGCCGAAAAUACAUGCGGGUCGCGCUCGCGCUUGAGUGGGUUGGAACACGUAAAAAAAAAAAAAAAUUGGAUGCGUCUCGCGCGCGCGGACGAACAAUCGCGGCGGAGAACGAUAUCGACGUCGGGACGGACGCCAGACGUCGUCGGUCGCGGCCGGGGCGUUUUCCGCUAUGUGGAAAUGCACGGGCUUUUGCGGGUCGUGGCCGCGGCGUGGUCGUUCUUGUCAGUGACCGGCGGCUAAGAAAAGCCGUUCUUGGCUUCGCGCUCGACGUAUAUCGGGUGGCGCGAUAUUUCCUCGCUGCUUUGUGCGCGCCGUGAUGGGCGCGUAGAAGCGCGCACGAGUUUUCUCCCUCUGACGUAACGACCCCGGGGAUUUAUGUCGGAUCUACCCGAGUCGCCAAACAAACAAGAGCCGGUAUUGUUACGGCUGCGGAAAAAUAAUCGACUUUGGAGCAGAGCCAUUGAGCCCGCGAACGACCGGCGUUAAGACCGAGAUUGAUAAGUCACACGUUUUAUGGGACGUUCGAUACAUAUACAUACGUCGCCCUCGCGUAUUUAUAGGAGAUAAACUUCGCCGCUCUUCAGUGAAAUCUCCUGUCGUGACGGGGGUGAGUGAUUUAAACUUAAUUUCACGAACUUUGAUGCAAUUAUCUAAUUAUCGCAGCACUUAAACCCCUUCACUGUCAACAUUAUAAAGCCGCAUAUAAACAUCCAUUUUACUCCGUAGGCUCAGUAUAUCUGGCUGCAGUAAAUGUUGACAGAUGGCUUCGUGUAUUUCCCCGAGAAAGCUUAACAAAUUUUCCCGGUAACGUAAGAUUGGACCAAAUUAGAUUUCGCUUCGAUUUCGCCGGAGAGAGCGGCGUACCCACGUUAAACUUUCACGAUGACGCGAAAUCCAGAUAGGAUUCAAAAGCUUCACGCUCAAUUAGAUUCCAAAGCUUCCGCGCGCGAGUGCUGCACUUCGGAAAACGCGCUGGCGAGGACUUUCGCGAACUGCGCAUCUCUUUUUAUUGGCCGCGUCUGACGUGAGGCGCCGCUUCCCGAAAGACAGCCUCCAUUCAUCUUGUAGCAAAAUUCUCUGGAAUAUUCUCCUAGAAUAAUUAUUCUCGUCACCCGCAGUGACGAAGGCAGGGACUCCCGCGCAUUUCCGAUAUGCACGAAAUUGGCCGUAACCGCGACCAUGUAGCGAGGCUCGCCUUUCGCCCCGGAAAGAAGCGGGAAUGUCGUUGCCAUUGUCAAAAGUGUGUCGGACUGAAUUACGUGGUCGACCAACGGGUGCGCUUUUCCGAGCACGGUGCACUCUGCUGCACCUCCGAAAGAUUUUGAGUCGAGUAGACGCUCCCGUGUAGACGGUACGUUCGCGUUCAGGGAAGAAGGCAUUGUAAAUGGAAAUGAGCCAACUGUAAACGUAUCCGUCCGCUAUGGUUAGAGGAAAUGGUAGGAAGAGAUGCGCUCACAUAUCCCGCGCUCUUGACCCUAACAUGUUGGAUUUUCCGGAUAUUAUGCUUAUCUAUAAAAAUCACAUAUUUAUAAAGAAGGAAUUUUUUUGUGGAUAAUCCCUUGAGCUUACAGGAGAAUAAAUCCAUAGAAAUUACCUGCUGAAUAAAAAGUAUCUCAAUCAUCCUGUUGCCGAAUGUAUUCUAAAAGUUUGGAAUACUGUAAAUACUCUACCUGGAGUUUACCAGUAUUAUAAAUAUCAAAUAUCCGUAUCCGGUGCAGAUUAUCCCAUGUGUUCAAAGCCCUUUCAAAAUUGAAAGCUAUUGUGUGUCCAUUUAAUUUUGUAUUGUUUUAUCACGUAGCUCCCCUUCAUCAUCGAUAGAUUUCAGCAAUAUUCUGUAAUGUAAUCGAUUUUCUGUCAAUCUUUCGCGGUCAGAUCAGCUCAGAUCUGAUUUAAUUGAAUUUCACAGAUUCGGAGGACUCUUUGGGAUAUUAGAUCCGGGAUUAUCCGGGAUAAUACGGAUACUCGGAUUUAUGUAAUCGGAUAUUAAAUCAACUUGAUAUUUACAAUCUUAAUGCCACUCACGAUAUUCUCAACGUACCAAUAGUUAAAUGUUACGGAUGUUACGACACGUUCUCUUGAAAAUGGAAAGUUCCCCAGUCCAGAAAUAUGCAGGCAUUAAUGUAUAACGUAAUAUUAAGGGCGCGCCCUGAGCGUUCCCUAAGGAAGGAGGAAGAACGAAAGCGGUCGCCCUUUGCAAUGGUAAUCUAUGCCACAAUUUGCAAUUACAAACGGCGGGAACGCCAAGAAUGUCAGCUGUUUCUAUAUGGCGCUCCAUCAUGUAUCUCAGUCACAUAUCCUGCAUAUCGACGUUAAUCCUCUCGACGUUGUUUACCGGGCUAGUUUCGAAUCAUUAAGGAGCACGAGCCACGAGAUGCGCAUGCAUGUUGCAAACGCAGGGUUGUUAUCGUUAAUUGGUUACUGUUGGCGUAAAAAAAAAAAAAAUUUUUGAACAAAAUCUGCAAAUCUGAUUUUAUCUCACAUUGAAAACGAGGUGAUUAAAGUUUUUAUAAAUAAGGUUUUUGAAACGCUCGUGUAUAAAUAUUUCACACUGAAAACGAGGCGAUUAAUAUUUUUAUAAAUGAAGUUUUUGAAACGCUCAUGUGUAUUAAUAUCCAAAUUUAUAUUAAAAGUGUAAAAGUUUGUUUUAUAUCAAAGUGAAAGACUUUUGGGAACUUUGUUAUACUUCUAUUUUGUAUACGACGACUCAUGUUAAAGGAAAAGAGAAGGAAAAUAUGGCAUUUCUGCCUACUGAUUUGGGAUUUAUUUUACACAUUUAUUUUUGCUCAGCUUACGAAAAACUUAAUAAUAUUGCAAAGUUUUAAACAAUACUAUAAAAACUGCUGUGUCAUCUGAUAAAGACACUUUUUAGCUCGUUUUCAAAAUUUAAUUUUUAAUUUUCGUCUCAGAAAUAUAAUCCAAAAAUGGUAGUAUCAAUCUUUUUCUAAUAAUUAUAAAUAAAAAAAUAAUUCUUCCGUGGUAUGUUAUGCAACAAGCGCAAAAUUUUUUGAUAGCGCAAAGGGAAAAAUUCCGCGAGGGGCAGCUGUGCUGCUUCGAGAUGGUGAAUUUCAAUUUAUCGCAUAUACAUAUAGGCGCAUGAAUAAAGUCUAUCUCUUCUUUUUUUUCAAAAUUUUGUUUUAUCCCGGAAUUUAGCAUUCGCCCGCAGGUAAAGCCCCUGCCGGAUCUUUCGGAUCGCGCUCGCCGCAGCGGAAGGAGGGAGGGAGGGAGGGAGAGGGGACGCCGGUUCCAAGCGACGAGAGGGGGUUGUAGUAAGCCGAGGGGGAUGGCGACGAUCCGGCGUGAAAAUAAAACGAUACUCGACGUGACGCACGUAACGAUCCCGCGCGGGAUAUCUGGGGAUCUUGAUGGAUCUGACGCAGCUGAUCGCGAUAAAACCAGCGAGGUAACGCAAGGCAGAGUAAGCAGAGUAGCUCGAACAGUGGCAAGAAUAAACUUGAAAAAGUGCGAGCGUGCGCCAAAGCGCAAAGCGCGCGUUGGAACCGAGUUUACGGUGAGCGAUCGAGUAUGCAACGGGGACGCGACGGGGAUGUGUCUCGCAGGGCCAACAACGCGUGUGCCUGGCUGCAAGCGCCAGAUUUUUCCUGGACUCGAGAACGAGGAUCAUGCUCGCCGCAUCGUCAUUCUGAUGCCAAGAAAUCUAUUUGCAGCGACGUCACUACAUUUUUGGACGUCCAAGGCCAGCGGCUAACAACUCUCUUAUUUACCUUUUAUUCGCCCUUAAAGCUCGAUUUGCUUUAUCGGUGCACUUCAUUUAAUUCUUGUACACGGUAUAAUGAGCCAUUAUCAUGCAAAUGUUUACAAGAAAUAUACGGCUCAAUAUUUUUUUAUGUUAACUAAUUCGAUUAAAGUUCUAUUAUAUGUGUAUAUAUAAAUUGAUGCGUAUAUAUUUUAUACACACGUAACACACAUAAGAUGCAUAAAGUAUACCUAUUUUAAAUUGAUAGAAUAAUAAUUGGUUAGAAGUUAAAUGUGAAGGUUUUAUUAGGAAUUAUCCCCCGAUGCCAUAGGGGGAUAAUUUUGUUAAUGUUCUAAAUAACUUUUGCAUUCGCAAAUUAAUCUUCGUUAUUUAUGUACAUUUUAUUGUACUUGCAUUUGUCAUUAUAACGUGAUAAAUGUUUUAUCUAUGGUGAUGGCCAAAAAAGAAUUAGGGUUUUAUUUACAUGGACAAUCGCCAAGUUCCAGGGCAUUUUUCUUCCUGUCGAGUUACAACGAUAUUUACAACGAUAUUUGCUGCCAUAUAUUUUACGACUGUUUUCGAUGAUUACAAUACAUAUAAAUUUUAGACUCUCUUUAUUGAUUUUAUGAUGUUUAUUACGAAAGAGCAAGUGUGAAAAAAUUUACACUGUUAGAAGUAAGUAUGUGAAUAUUACACAUUGAGGUGUGUUCCUCAUUUUAAGAUAUUUACGAAUGUAUAAAUUAUAAAAAAAUUUAUACAUUAAAGUGUGUCAUAUUCAUACGUUUUGAAAAAAUUCACACCCUCGCAGAUGUCUUAAAACGAGGAACACACAUCAAUGUAUGAGAUUUAUACACUUACUUCUAACAGUGUAUGCAUUUGUAAUGAAAAAGGAUAAGAUUGAUUUUGCCAGAGAAUUAAAACUAAAGAUUUUACAAUGAUGACUAAUAGUAUUUUGCAUGCGAUUAGUGACAUUGAUAAUUACUUUAAUUAUUUUGAAAUUUUACUUGUAAUAUAACGAUAGCAGGAAAUUGUGAAAAUUGAUGAUAUUUGGCAUACAUGAAACUUUACAAAUAUUUAAUUUUAAUUUUAAAAUAUUGAUAUUUAUCGCGUGUAACGAUAAAAAAUAGCAGUAGUUUAUCAAACGAUUUUUUUUUUUUUUUUUUUUUUUUAGUAAUUAAGAAUUACUGACAAAUCUCGUUUACGGAUGAGAAAAUGGUGCACAGCUGGGCGAAUAACGAACUUUUCUCCCGUCUGAUGUGAUUACCUUUUCACUUCUGGCUGAUUUUGCAAGACGCAUGUUCUUUCAGCAGCGCGAUAUAUAGUGUCACGAGAUUGGAUGCAAUUACCACGGAUUGCCGGAUUCCGAGCGCUAAUUUUAUAUUCGCACGUAAUUUUAGAGGGACGUAGGUAAUACGCCCAUUUUCGAUGACGCACUUCUGUCUCUGAACACAGAAAGAAAUAAAGUCUAACAGUUACCUAAAUUUUGACAAAUUACCUAAAAUUCGCUCAAUUUUCUACAUUUCAAAAAUGGCUAUUUAAACAAAUACCUGAAUUACACUAACGAUUCGUUGAGACAAUUAAAAUAAUAAUUUUUUUAAUGCGAAAUCAAACGUUUUCUAAUGUCUUUAUAUAUUAAUAUUUUAUGUUAUCAAAUAAGUUUUUACUUCAAUAUUUACAGCGAUGCCUAACUAGUCUUUGUUUUUUCGCGUUAUUCUUACCUUCCGUCUAUCGAGGGGCGUUCGAUCGGGCAGGUUCGUUGAAGAAAGAAACGUACAAGAAGCGGCACAACGUUACUCCCGUGGAGAAAAUCGAUCGCCGAUUGUAUUUGUUUCUAUACAAUUAGGCUCUGUUUAUACGAUCGAUGCUUGAUACACUGGCGAUACAAUGAAGCUUCAACUCCAUGGGAAGUCGUUUUUCAGCACGAUAAAUCGCAAUUCGUACGAUGACCGAGAAACUUUUCACGAUAUGCACUAUAACCAAGGCAGGAAUGUAAUCGCGAGCUCGCACGUCGCGCAAAGAAUCGACGGUGCUUCUCGAUGUUUGUUUCUGGCAAAAGAAUCAUCGCGUUUAACGAAACAUUCGAUAUAAUUCUUUUGCGACGCGAGCGAAGACGUUACAAAGGUAUUCUACUGCUUUGUAAAAAAAAAUAUAUAUAUAUAUUGUUAGUUAAUCGGAGGGUUCAGUGAUUAAUAUGAACACUCUGCAGAAAACAGACAAAUUAACAAGAGUCAAUAAGACUUUAUUUUUCCGGAUUUUCAAUUUAAAAUUUAUCAAAAUUUUUUUUUCAAUUCAAAAAUUUAAAUUUCUCUGCGCGUUUUUAGCAAUAAAGGGACUAAAAAAAAAAAUUGAAAACGUUUUACAAAUCUGUAAAAUUAUUUUCGUUUUAUAGGGAGGAGUCUUUUAAUCCUAGUUCGUCAAUUUUUUUCUGCAGAGCGGGCAGCAAAGGCGAAAAUUGGCGUGAAAACCGAUCGAGUAUCUCUCUGUUGAGUGGGAUCGCGAUAAGCGCGACCGCCAACUACCUACCAAUUGGUCCUCCGAAUUGUUUUGUCAAUAAUUUGUACACGUGUUGCAAAUUAUAGAUUUACUGCACUGCUCAUUUCUUUCCUUUCUUUUUUUUUUUCCACCAUGAUUUCUCUCGCGCGCUUAGACUGCACGCAUACACAACGCGUGCGUAUACAAUACACGCGGUUAACAAUUAGCUCUCUUCGUCAUUUUUUUGUUUAAAUAUAUAUAUAUAUAUAUGUAUAUGUAUAUAUGUAUAUUGUUUACAUUUCUACGUCUCAAAGUAUCUCCCGUGUUACAUUCACUCUCACUUUCUCUCUCUUUCACUCGCAUUCUCUCUCUUUUGCGCGCUCGCUCUCUCUGUCUCUCUUUCUCUCUCUUUCUCUCGGGAUCUGCAUCAUUAACGGAUUGUGCACAUAUACACGUUACAAUUAACAUAUACGACGUAGCAGUCGUUGAGAACAUCCAUGAUUGACUUUUGCUACAAUUAUACAGCUUAUUUAGAGUACAACUGUUCUUGUUAUACAAAUGAUCUCUCUCAACGUGACGUCUGCGAUGUGAUGUUUUCUUCUUUUCCACGUGUGUUGUGUGUGUAUGCCUCUGU